GGCGUUUGUCGAUAUCGGAAUAUAUGCAUAUAAUAAAGGCAUAUUAAAUUACGGAGGAAGAAAACACGGUGGUUGAGGCGGGGGAGCGGAGUGGCCCCUGCAGCGGAUGGGUUUUAGAGGAGGAGGACUACUGGUAGAGCUUAUUACAUUUGACAAUUAAGCACUGAACGGGUUUAGCUUGGGCACUUUGUGGCCCGGUACAUAUAAAUAAGGGAAAACACUAAAUAUUCAAAUUGUAAAUUGCGCGCUACAUUAUUCGGAUGUGAUAUUUGGAGACAGUAUACGUGCGAGACUAAUGCCGCACUCGCUUGCAAUGGAAACAACUCUUCGCUUCACUCCCCUUCCGUUUGGAACCAGACCUGGCGAAAUUAGAGGUAAGGGACUCCCCUGUUCUGUCUUGUUUGGUUGCCGAGAAAAGAAAAGGAAAUAGUGAGUGAAAAAUCUGAGGAUAAGAUACGAAAUUCGGUAAUUCUGUUGGCUUUACCGUUUGGUUUUGAGGAUAAAUAAGAAGUCGAAGAACAAUUUGAAAUCAGGAUGUUAGUUCAGGGUAAAAGUUAACAGUUCUAUUGUGUGUAGAUAGUAGGGUUCCUCGCUCGUCAGUUCUCGAGCUGCACUUUCAUUCGCGCAAUUAUUGCAGUGUAUUUAUUGUCGCUUUAUAAAUUUUUGGUUAUGCAGUUGUGAGUUUACUCAUUAUUGCUUUGAGAAAUUUUUAUAAUUUUCUAUUUUUUUUUUAUUAAUUACUGUGGAACAGUGUGGUUCAUAGGGUUACUUCUUGGGUAUUAGGAGUUCUUAAUCCACUUUAAGGUAGGGGAAAAAGAAACUUUACAUUUGGUUAAUACGCAUUUGACAUAUUUCAGAUUCCUAGUUAUGAAAUUAAUUGUAGUUGAAUCUUGGGCAGAUGUACUUUUAAGUUCAUAGGAAAGUCGUGCUUGAGAUACCGUGCCUGUUAUUUCAUUCAACUUCUCAUUUGGAUUCAUAUCUCAUCUAGCAUUUUGAAUUUUAUUGUUCAUUCACUGGUCUUAUUUCCCUAUUUUCUUUUUUGAUGUUUCAAUACUAACAAAAUUUAUUGUGUAGUAGUUUAUAAUGAUUGUUGAAAGUUGAUGCGGACCACAAAGUCAUUGGUUACAAUCGGUUGUUGAUGAUGACUACCGAAGAGUAUCAUUUUCAAGUGAAGUAGACACUAAGGAACCAUA
rnacentral:misc_RNA from 1 species